GACUUUUAAUGUGAGAAUUGAAUCAAUCAAGUGACUACUUGAGUUCGUUUGGGUCUUACUGUGACAAUUGUUAUUCUCAGUUUACCAUAGGCUUCAAAUAACUUCUGCAAUGGGCCACCCAUAUCUUGUGCUUAGUGUGGGGCCUUGGGUGCUAGAAGGUUUUUCUCAGUGUUUUUGCUCCACCCUUAGCUUUCAACAGUCUUUGCAUGCCUGCACCACAGAAUAGGGUCCCUUUCCACAUUCUUGCCUCUCCCCCAUAGACUGUUGCUGCUCAUUACUCAAUAUGAGGCUUACCAUGUGGUCAAUAGGGUAAAUUUCAGCUUCUGUUCGUCAGUCUCUGAAUUAAGGCCAGGCAGCCAGGGAUUGAGGGGUUAAGCCUUCUCCAUGUUUCUACCACUCCCCCACCACACCCUUUGGCUGCCAAAUCCUGCCUUGUAUCUGUAGUGUAUCUUGGGAAGCUGAGAGUUUCCUGCCCCUUCCCAAGCAGUAGAAGAUUUCUGCUUUGUUUUAUUCAGAAUUUUGGAUUUUUAAAGGGGUUUGUUGGUUUGUUUCUUCACUCUGUCAGAAGCAAGAAACUCUUUCUUCUACCUUUUCUCCACAGCAAUGGUUCUUUGCCUGGCUACUGAAGUUGAAAAGAAGAGUAUCCUACCCUACCCCUAGAAGCAGAUGGGUUUUAUUUCUGUCUGUCCUGCAGAGGCCUUGGAGGGAAGAGGUGACUUUCACCUUCCACCAUGAUUGUGAAGCCUUCCCAGCCACAAGGAACUGUGAGUCCAUUAAACCUCCUUUUCUUCACAAAUUACCCAGUCUCAGGUAUGUCUUCAUCAGCAGUGUGAAAACAGACUAAUACGACUGGUACCUGCUUGAAUCUUCUGUGCUCUCACUUGCUGCCACACCUUUGUACAUGAAUUGUCCAUUCUUUUCCUUUCCUCCUUUGCUAGGCUAACUUCUACUUCUUUAAGAUUCUUCUCAGAUUGACUCUUUGGAAAGCAUUUCCUAGUUCCCUCCCCCAGUCUUAUUCCCUAGCUCCAGCUGGAGUAUAGAUUUCUAACUGUGGGCUCCCACAACACCCUUUGCAUACUGCAUUUGUCACGCUGUCUUCUAAUUAUCUACCCCUCCAAACUGUGAGUUUCUCCAGAGCAGAAAUUGUGCCUUUCAUCUCUAUUAAUAGCUCCUGGCAGUGGUCCUGGCACACAGCACAUGCUUGUGAAGUGUUGAAUUGUUAAACUGGAUCACAACUUUCUCUAGCAUGAUUUUUGCUCGUGCACUUACUCCCUUGUUUGAGCAUCAGCCUUUCUCUGUUUCUUUACCUUAGACCACAAUCUAACAUAUUCAGUCCCCUCACCAUUAUAGGCAAAUGGUCACCAGGAGAGCUGGGAGAGUGUAUGACUAGACCCUAGCAAACACGUGACCUCUGCAGGAACAGCUCAGCAUUCAUGCCCAUUUCCUGGUGGAUCGGGAAUGUCACCUUCAAUCAAAGGUAUAGAAAAGAAGAACUUGAGGCCUUGGGAUCAACAAAGGAAAGUUCAGUUUCCUAUUUCCUCAUUCACUUAUACAGCCUUUGCCCAAUCACCUAUGCCCUGUGGAAUUCAUUUUCCUCAUCUAUAAAAUGAGAAUAAAAAUAAUUAUUCUUCUUAUUCAUGGAAUCACUUGAGGAUUACAAUGAAAUAAAAUAAUGUAUUCACAUCUAUUGUGUUUUUAAAUGUUUAAAUAUUAUAGACCUCAAAUCUUCUCAAACUGAUUCAUAAUAGAAAUUUCAUAAUAUAGGCAACCCAGAUUGACCACCUUCUCAGUCAUGGUAAUUUUCUAUAUAACACAAACAAGUAAAUAAAAAUUCUAACACGGCAUGUAAAUGUGAAUGAUUAUUAUGUAUUCAUCUUCAUCAUCUCCUUAAAGCAGCAUUAUUGAGACUUCAUCUGAGAAAUAGUAGCAUUCUUGGGAGUUUCUGUCCUAUAUAUUAAUAUAUGAGUAACUGAGGCAAGUGGGAGAGUCUGGUUAAUCCUGUUAUCCUGGUACCUGAUCAAUGACUUUAUUGUUGGGAAAUGGUGUGGUGUGGAAAAGCUAAGCUAUGCCCACUCUCAUCAUGUGAUAAAAGCUGCUUAAAUUCUUGCCUAGAUGAAAUGAUCUUUUACCAAAAAAUCCCCAAUAAAUGUCUCCCUAGCUUGAAAGUCUUUAGAAAAUAGAGUUGCUUGGUUUUAUUAUGUUAAAUAAAUAUUGUUUUAUACUUUUCCAAUAAGUUUUAACUUUAUUUUUGCACUGAAAUAUCUUAUAAUUUCCAUUUUGUGACUCCCACUAGUGAUGACUUAAGGGACACUUUAACCUGUCCAUUCAUCAUAAAAACCUAGAGUCAACCAAGUUUGACUACCUUUCCCAGCUAUGGUCGGUAAAUAUUUUCCCCUGUCAAUGGCUAGCUUAUUACUAUUGUAAAAUGAAUAAAUAAGGAAAAUAAUUAGGUGGUUCAUUUAGGCUCUUUUUGUAUUUGCUUAUUGUAAAUAAAAAUUGAAUCCAGUUUAAAUUAAGUGAUUCUUGUCAUAACCUAUUGUAGGAACAUGAAAUAAUCUAAGAAAAAGUUCCAGCCAUGCACAUCAGGAGAGCUUGUCAAAGUAAAGGGGAAACUACUUCUACAAAGAAGGAGAAAUAUUGCCUCCUCCUUUCAGGUACCAAUCUGAAAGCUGUUCUCUUUUCCAUCAAAAUUAAUGGUUGCUUUUAUAACUUCCCUCUUCCCUAAAGAGAGAAGAAAGUCAAAGAGACCUAGAAGCAAACCUUGCCUGGUUUUCCAAUAUCAGCUUACAAAGAAUGUUCUAAAGGAAAGCAAACUUUACAUUCCAGCUUUGCCUGAAUCUGUGCAAUAGUAAAUUGGUGACAGUAAUAGCUUAAGCAAUGGAAAAAUAAUGCAUGAGCCUUAUCUAAAUCUAAGUUUAGACUCAAGUCUAAACAUUGAGUAGUUAGUAACUCUCUGUAAAAUUAAUAGUAGGCUGGGGGCGGUGGCUCAUGCCUGUAAUCUCAGUACUUUGGGAGGCCAAAGAGGGCAGAUCACAAGGUCAGGAGAUCAAGACCAUCCUGACUAACACAGUGAAAGCCCAUCUAUCAGGGGAACCCACCCUCAGUAUUUCAACAUAGGUUCUUCCUGUUUUCCAUAAGUGUUGGCCAGCUGAGAAAUAAAGAGAAAGAGUACAAAGAGAGGAAUUUUACAGCUGGGCCGCUGGGGGUGACAUCACAUACCAGCAGGACCGUGAUGCCCACUAGAGCCUCAAAACCAGCAUGUUUUUUUUAAGGAUUUCAAAAGGGGAGGGGGUGUAUGAACAGGGAGUAGGUCACAAAGAUCAUAUGCUUCAAAGGGCAAAACGCAGAACAAAGAUCACAUGCUUCUGAGGAAACAGGACAAAGGGCAAAACGC
ensembl:lncRNA